AGAGGAUAGCACUGGCCGGUGGUGUCGCUGUCAUUCAGGUGGGAGGACGAACAUAAACUGAACUUAAAGAGAGGUUGGGAGUUGAGGAUGCUCUAAUGUAACUAGAUCAUUCGGUGGUGGUGACCCAUAUGAUGGCCAUUCGCUCCGGCCAUUCCAGUUUUGGUGGUGGUGGUGCUGCUGCUCCUAUGAUGGUAGACUCGUCUGAUUUCCCUAGCCGCAUCCAUGGUGAUGAAGCUCGGCCUAGGCUAGAACCCCCUCCGGUGAGCUCCUCACGUCCUCUUAUACCCCUCCUACUUGCUUGUUGGUUCUAUGCUCCGCCUUUGUGAGGUGUAAUUGUUCAAUUUUGUUCAUAG